CGAGUUGGUCGGGCGGCCGCGGCGAGGGGAACCGUGCGCGUGAGCGUGCAGGCCUCGCGCCGAGGAAAGUCCGGACUCCACAGAGCAGGGCGGUUGCUAACGGCAACCCGGGGUGACCCGCGGGACAGUGCCACAGAAAACAGACCGCCGGCCCGCGCCUUUCGGGGCGUGGUGCCGGUGAGGGUGAAACGGUGCGGUAAGAGCGCACCAGCACCCCAGGUGACUGGGGUGGCUAGGUAAACCCCGCCCGGAGCAAGGUCGAAGGCCGCACCUUCUCGAAGGUGCGGCUGCGCAGGUGUUCGAGGGCUGCUCGCCCGAGCCUGCGGGUGGACCGCUCGAGGUACCCGGCGACGGUGUGCCCAGAUGGAUGGUCGCCGCCCGGCGCUUCACGGCGCCGGGAACAGGAUCCGGCUUACAGACCAACUCGUCCG
rnacentral:RNase_P_RNA from 1 species